CAAAGCACACUGAGUGCUAACGAUACACUUGAAAAGUUGAAAGAGCAUGUUGCUGCUGAGAAAGACGGAAAUAACACUAUUUACUACUUAUUUACACGGAAACAACUGCUUGCAAAAGAAAUUGGAGAGGAAGAGUACGACAGCUACAUGUAUUAUGGUACAUUCGAAACAUUUUGCAGUGAAAUGAAGAGUGCUGUUGUUGUACAUCAUCAGUCUAUGGAUGACGACUCAAAUGCUGUAGGAGCAACGGCGUGGAUCUUCGGUUUUACGGGAGAUGACUCUAUUGAGAUGGAUUUCUUCACCAUGCUUUGGGUGUUUCAACACUGUCCGAAAAGCACUUGUCCGGCGCACUGCUCGCAAGAAUGUCCAUGAAAAAGCGAAGGAGGAAGAAACACGGUGGAGUUUAGCAACCUUGUGCCAUCGGAUAAAGCAAAGGAGUAGCAUGGAUGAAAUAUGAGUUAAUAAAGUUACUCUUUUCAUUCGUA